GGGGUAAUAGUUUAAAAAAAUAUUUAAUUUGCAAUUAAAAGAAGCUAAUAAAGCUUAUCUCA
rnacentral:tRNA from 1 species